rnacentral:ncRNA from 1 species
CACAAAGGCUUGGUCCUGGCUUUGCCAUCAACUACAACUAAAUUUACACAUGCAAGUAUCCGCGCCCCUGUGAGGAUGCCCCAUAUCUCCUGGUUGGAGACGAGGAGCUGGUAUCAGGCACAAUCUCUUAGCCCACGACGCCUUGCUUGGCCACACCCCCAAGGGAAAUCAGCAGUGAUAAACAUUAAGCCAUAAGUGAAAACUUGACUUAGUUAGUGUUAACAGGGUCGGUAAAUUUCGUGCCAGCCACCGCGGUUAUACGAGAGACCCAAGUAGAUGGCUUUCGGCGUAAAGAGUGGUUAAGAAAAAACCAAAACUAAAGAAGAACGACCUCAAAGCUGUUAUACGCGUAUGAAAGUACGAAAAUCAACCACGAAAGUGACUUUAAAACCCUGAACCCACGAAAGCUAUGCCACAAACUGGGAUUAGAUACCCCACUAUGCUUAGCCCUAAACAUCGAUAUUAACAUACCCAUUUUAUCCGCCCGGGAACUACGAGCAUUAGCUUAAAACCCAAAGGACUUGACGGUGCUUUAGAUCCACCUAGAGGAGCCUGUUCUAGAACCGAUAAUCCCCGUUAAACCUCACCUUUCCUUGUUAUUACCGCUUAUAUACCGCCGUCGUCAGCUUACCCUUUGAAGAACCUGUAGUAUGCACAAUCGGCACAGCCCCAAACGCCAGGUCGAGGUGUAGCGUAUGGAAAGGGAUAGAAAUGGGCUACAUUCAAUAAAUCAUAAUGAAUACGGAUGAUGUCUUGAAAAUAGACACCUGAAGGGGGAUUUAGCAGUAAGCAAGGAAUAGAGUGCUUUGCUGAAACUAGGCCCUGAAGCGCGUACACACCGCCCGUCACUCUCCCCAAGCUUAUGAAAAUACAUUUAUAAUUCACUAAACCCGCAAAGGGGAGGCAAGUCGUAACAUGGUAAGCGUACCGGAAGGUGCGCUUG